rnacentral:rRNA from 1 species
UACGAAGGGGGCUAGCGUUGUUCGGAAUUACUGGGCGUAAAGCGCACGUAGGCGGACAUUUAAGUCAGGGGUGAAAUCCCGGGGCUCAACCCCGGAACUGCCUCUGAUACUGGGUGUCUUGAGUUCGAGAGAGGUGAGUGGAAUUGCGAGUGUAGAGGUGAAAUUCGUAGAUAUUCGCAGGAACACCAGUGGCGAAGGCGGCUCACUGGCUCGAUACUGACGCUGAGGUGCGAAAGCGUGGGGAGCAAAC